UUUCCUCCCUCCCUCCCUCCCCAUCUCUCCACUCUGCUUCUCAGAUAAAUCUUAAAAAAAUAAAAUAAAAAACUCAUAAUACUUAACCAUCAGAAUAUGGAAAAAUCUCUAUACCUUCCAUUCUAUUUUUUUCUGAACCUAAAUAGACUCUAAAAUAUCAAAUGUACUUUAAGAAAAGAAAGGAAAAGCCCCUAUAUUCAUUGCCAAGUUACUUCCUCACCAAAUCAGACUAAAUCAUCUCCUCGCUUGCGCAUACUUCCCGCAAACCCUCAGCUGAGCUGCCUCUGAUCACUGUCAUGCUCUUUUGACCUCCCUUGAUUUAUUUACACCUGGAUAUACCUAAAAAACAAGCAACAACUACAAUAAAACCAGCCCCAGUGAGAUGCCUUUUUUUUUUACUUCCAUUCAAGCUUCCAGAGUUCAGAACUUCAGCCUGUGCCUAAAACCGCCUGAUUAAUCCUUAGACUAAGAGGACCUCAGUGCCUUAUGCCUUAACUUUUUACUUUAGAAGCCAGAGGGUGAAAAGGAAAGGAAAUCCUAGCCCCUAGUGAGCUAGUGCCUCUUAUAAGGCAAUUAGGGAUAUAAGCCUUUAAAAUGUAUGGUUUAAGCUUACUGGAAAAGCCUCCCUUCUCUCCCUCCCUCCCUCUUCCUACCCUCAACCCAGCUUCAUCAGUACUCAGAAGGCCUCCCUAUUAGGAAUCCUCUUAAAAAUGCCUCUUGCACUCUCCUAGUGCCUUGAAUGUGAGCUAUGUGACCCUGCGUAGUGAGAUGACGUUGUACGGCUGGGAGUUCACACUGAAGCCUGACCUUCUAACAUCUGUGCUCUCAGCAGGGUCACACAGGCCCCAUCUCUCCUGCCUCACUUCUAGGGAACUGACACAGUGGGGAGGGGCCCCUCUGUCACAGUCUAGAGAGAGGACAGGCAACUGGCAUUGACUCUCCCUCACUAGACUGUGGCAAGGACAAUGCCAACCAACCCUGGAACUACCCACAGCCAUGGAAGCACACCCUACGGAAGACCCACUCCCAAAUUUCCCUCUGCCUGUUUUGUUCCCUUGCACCAAUCUCUAAGCAAUACUCUAGGACCCAGGAACCCAAAUUUGCAUUGCCUCUGUUGCUGUCAGACACGGGAGGCAACCCUAAGUCAGUCUCUUCCCAUGUUGGAUGCUAGACAGAGCAGUUCUGGAAUUUCUCACUGCACGAGGCUGUAGCCCUGCCUCUGAGUCUCCCAGUCCCUAGGUUCUGGGAAUUCUGUUUCAAAAGAUUCAUUCAUUUAUUCUGAAGGCAAAGUGACAGAGAGAGAGGAGAGAGAGGAAGAUCUUCCAUCUACUGAUUUACUCCCCCAAAAAGGCACAACAACCAGGUCUGGACCAGGCUGAAGCCAGGAGCCAGGAACUCCAUCCAGGUCUCCCACAGGGGUGGCAGAGGUCCAAGUACUUGGGUCAAUUCUGCUGCUUUCCCAGGUGCAUAAUUAGCAGGGAGCCGGAUCAGAAAUGGAGCAGCCAAGGUGAGACUCUGACCUGCACUCCGAUGUGGGAUGCCUGUGUCACAAGAGGUUGGCUUAACCCACUGCUCCACAACACUGCCCCCACGGUGCCAGGAACUCACCGCAGCCAACGUGCUAACCACAGUUAAACAAAGGGCUCUGACUUCCAUGGCUGUUUGGGAAGAGAAGUGGUGGAAGGGCAAUUGCUCAGGGCGCAUGACAUCCCAGCUGCAACAUAGCCCAUUUCCUUUUAUUACAUCACUGGUCACAGUGACCCUCAGGACAGCGCCAACACUACAUACAUCCAUUACAUCAUAACAUCAGUGUACCUCGUUCCCAGGCAGCUCCCAGUGGUGGCUGGAAGAGCAGGAAGGAACCAAUCAGGACCCAGCUGGAGAGCUGUGUUCCCACAAACUGCUCUCCCAGCCCCAUUUUAAAGACAACACCGACAAAGGCCAAUCAUCCCAGUGAGGAGGUUUACAGACUGACUCCAGAGCAUCCAGGAACAAGAUGUCUUGUCAAUAUUUGACGAGAAAACUUACUAUGGAUUUCACCAGAAGACAAGGAGGGCUGCAACUUAGGAGGGGAAGUCAGCAACAAGUUGAUUUCAUUUUUCCUAGCCCAUACAGAAGUUUCAGACUCCGGAGACCAACCAGCAGCUGAACAGGGAGCCUCACAGGACACUGAGUUCCCCCGUUCCCAGGAGCGAAUGCGCCUCUAGAGUGGAUGCCCCAAGACAGAGCCACCACCUGUCACAUCGGGCAUGUUUACAACUAAGUGGCAGUUUGCAUACCUGAUUUUUUUUUUACCUUUUUAAAAUGUAAUUUCAAGCUUACAAAAAGCUGCGAAUAUAAAACAAGCACAAGAAAUACCUCCUUGCCCCAGGUUCACUUACUGUUAAAUUUUAUUCCAUGUACUUUGUCAUUUGCUCUCCUAACUCUUUCUACUUUGUAUGUGUGCACCUAAUUUUUGAACCAUCUGCAGGUAAGUCGCAUGGUCUCACAGCCCUAAACUCCUCAAUGGUUCAGUGUGCAUUUCCUGAGAGUGGGGAUAUUCCCUUCUGCAACCUUCCAGUGUGUUCAUCAACCUCACACAUUCCUAUUCCUACUUCUCAUCAGAUCAUAACCAUCCACAUUCCAAUUUUGUCAGUUGAUAUAAAUUAGCCUUUAUAGCAAACCCCCCAAAAAGAAUCACACUAAAAUCAGGUACUGCAUUUAGUUGUCAUAUACUUUGAGUUCUUUUACCUCCCGGUAUUCCCUCGCCUUUCUUUUGGUAGCAGGCAGAGCAAAGCCCCUUCCAGCCCCCAGGUUGCCACGCCCUAAGCCCAGAACCUGUGAACGUCUCCCCUUCCGUGGCUCAGGAACUUUGCAGGUAUGACCAUGUUAAGGCUCUGCGCAGGAAGGUUAAUGGGCCUGGCAGGCUCAGUGCCUCGUCAGGAGCCAGGGGACUCAGAGGAGGAGCUGUCUUUGAAGAUGGAAGGGGGACUGCAAGCUGAGAAAUACAAGUCCCCUCACCACCUUUUCUCUACAACUGUAGUUCUCCGGGUCGGCACUGCGGCGCAGUAGGUUAACCCUCCCACUGCAGCGCCAGCAUCCCACAUAGGCGUCCAUUCUAGUUCCGGCUGCUCCUCUUCCGAUCCAGCUCUCUGCUAUUCCCUGGGAAAGCAGUAGUAGAUGGCCCAGGUCCUUGGGGCCCUGCACCCACGUAGGAGACCUGGAAGAAGCUCCUGGCCUCUGGCUUCAGACCAGCUCAGCUCCAGCCAUUGUGGCCAUUUGAGGAGUGAACCAGCAGAUAGAAGAUCUCUCUCUCUGUGUCUCUCCCUCUCACUGUCUAUAACUCUACCUCUCAAAUAAAUAAAAAACCUUUAAAAAAAAAAAAAAACCUGUGAUUUUCUUUAUUUUGUUUUGAUGUUUCUUUUUAUUAGACUAUGGUUAUGCAUUCUCAGCUGGAACACAGGCAACAUUAGGGUAUUCCAUCUGCAAAUAUACAACAGUCCUCCACCCCCCACAGGGGAUAUAAAUGUUGAUCAUUUGGUUGAGAUGUUGUCUAAUUUCCCCUCUGUAUAAUUGCAGCCUCUCUCUCUCUCUCUCUCUCUCUCUCUCUCUCUCUCUCUGAGUGUCCUCCUCAAUUAAAUGUCCUCUGUAUUUGGUACCCACUGAUGAUUCUCAGCUACAGCCAUCGCAACUUCAGUGGUCGCCAAUGAUGACUGUCCAACUCCAGUGCCCUCCAUUGCACCGAUCGGUCCUGGCAUUCUACUGUAAGAAGAGCCUGCCCAGAUCCUCCCCUGAUGAACUUACGUGCUGGGAAGUGUUCCAAGGUGGACAGGGAGUGGGAGAGAGACAAGAGACAGUGUGAAUACUGCAAGGAGGUGAGAAGUGGAGCAGAGGAAAAGGGGAGAGCAAGAGGAAGAGGCUCAGCUGGCAACAGAAAUAUGAACACCAAACUAUGGCAACCAGUGUACGUUAAGUGACCCUUUUGUCUAAAUAUUUAAUCAACCACUAAGCAACUACUCAGAUAAGAAUUAUUCUCAUUAGUACCCAACCCUUUAUAAAUAACUUCUCUAAAUGCCAUACCCUAGGGGAUUUGAAAUAUGCUGCCAGGCCUCUCCCCUGAGAGAAGGAAAAGGAGCUGGAGCUUAGGGCCAGUAUCGUGGCACAGUGGGCAGAGCUAUGGCCCAUGAUGCUGGCGUUCCAUAGGCAUCCCAUAUGGUGUCGGUUCAAGUCCCAGCUGUUCCACUUCUGAUCCAGCUCCCUGCUAAUGCACCUAGGAAAGCAGCAGAAGAUGGUCCAAGUACUUGGGUCCCCGCACGGACAUGGAGGACCUGGAUGGAGUGCCUGGCUCCUGGCUUCAGCCUGGCCUGGCUGUGGCUGUCACAGCCAUCUGGGGAGUGAACCAAUGGAUGGAAGAUCUCUCUCUCUCUCUGUCUCUCCCCCUCACUCCCUACUCUACUCACAAAGUUCAUGGGAAAAUAGAAUUAAAAUAUGUUUAUUUUCAUGCAAAAAAUUGAAAUCCAUGCAUAAUUUUUUUCAUAAUACACAUUUUUAUAAACUUUUUGAAAGUUUCUCACAUGCAUGGAUUUAGGGUUUUUAUGUGUGUGCCAAAACACCCCUGUCAUCUUCUCCAGUUCCUUGUUCUCACGGCACUUCUCAGUAACGAGCUUCUCACCACCCUGUUUAACUACAACCGUGUCCAUCCAGUCCCCACCCCGUGCUCUGGUUUGUCCUUUGUCUUUUUUUGCAUAAUAUUUAUCAUAUAUUUUGCAAAUAAUUUGUUUAUUAAGUUUCCUGUUUCUUCUCCGCCCAUUAGCGUAUAAGCUCCAUGAAGUCAGAAAUGUUUGCCUGUUUUGUUUACUGACUUGGAAUAAGGUCAGACCUACAGGAGGAAUCUCGAUAAACUGUGUUAAACUAAACGAAUGACCUCAAGAUCUCAUUCUCUUUCUUUGAGAGAUCAAAUAUGAAAACAAUAAAGAGGGUGUGAAUAAUGCAAUUGAUGAGGUUGAUUUAAUACAUACAUUUUAAACAAAGAUAUAUUUGAAAAGAUAAACUCUUCUUUUCAAGAGUGUAUGAUAGGGGCCAGCGCUGUGGGGCAGUGGGCUAAUGCCAUGGCCUGAAGUACCGGCAUCCAUAUGGGCACCGGUUUGAGAUCCAGCUGCUCCUCUUCCGAUCCAGCUCUCUGCUGUGGCCUAGGAAAGCAGUAGAAGAUGGCCCAAGUGCUUGGGCCUCUGCACCCACGUGGGAGACCCAGAGGAAGCUCCUGGCUUCGGAUCGGUGCAGCUCCAGCUCCGGUCAUUGCGGCCAAUUGGGGAGUGGACCAUCAGAUGGAAGACCUCUCUCUCUCUCUCUCUCUCUCUCUGCCACUCCUCUCUCUGUGUAACUCUGAGUUUCAAAUAAAUAAAUCUUUAAAAAAAAAAA